CCUAUGGGGGGCAGCAGGCGCGAAAACUUUACAAUGCGGGCAACCGUGAUAAGGAAACCCCGAGUGCCAGCACAGGCUGGCUGUCCGCCAGUGUAACAAACUGGUGAAGAAAGGGCCGGGCAAGACCGGUGCCAGCCGUGGUGGCCGCUUUUACUGGGCUUAAAGGGUCCGUAGCUGGAUUCACGGGUCCCUUGAGAAAUCUAUCGGCUUAACUGAUAGGCGUUCAGGGGAAACUGUGGUUCUAGGGACCGGGAGAGGUGAGAGGUACUGCCGGGGUAGGAGUGAAAUCCUGUAAUCCCGGUGGGACGACCUAUGGCGAAGGCAUCUCACCAGAACGGCUCCGACAGUGAGGGACGAAAGCUGGGGGAGCAAACCGGAUUAGAUACCCGCGUAGUCC
rnacentral:rRNA from 1 species